AUGACCAUAUCACAUUGAAACACUGGUUCUCAUCCGAUCACCAAAGUUAAGCAAUGUUGAGCCUAGUCAAAACUGAAAUGGAUAACCAUUGGGGAAUACCAUGUGCUGUAAG